GAGUUUGAUCCUGGCUCAGGAUAAACGCUAGCGGCAGGCCUAACACAUGCAAGUCGAGGGGCAGCGGGGGUAGCAAUACCCGCCGGCGACCGGCGCACGGGAGAGUAACGCGUAUGCAACCUACCCUUUACAGGGGAAUAGCUCAGAGAAAUCUGGAUUAAUGUCCCAUAAGACAGCAGCACCGCAUGGUGCAGCUGUUAAAGCUCCGGCGGUAAGGGAUGGGCAUGCGUGACAUUAGCUAGUUGGCGGGGUAACGGCCCACCAAGGCUACGAUGUCUAGGAGGUCUGAAAGGAUGGUCUCCCACACUGGUACUGAGACACGGACCAUACUCCUACGGGAGGCAGCAGUGAGGAAUAUUGGUCAAUGGGUGUAAACCUGAACCAGCCAUGCCGCGUGAAGGAUGAAGGCUCUAGCAGUUGUAAACUUCUUUUGUUGGGGAAUAACCCCGGGCACGCGUGCCCGGCUGAACGUACCCGACGAAUAAGCACCGGCUAACUCCGUGCCAGCAGCCGCGGUAAUACGGGGGGUGCAAGCGUUAUCCGGAUUAAUUAGGUUUAAAGGGUGUGUAGGCUGAUUGGUAAGUCAGCGGUGAAAUCCCCCGGCUCAACCGGGGAACCGCCAUUGAUACUGCCGACCUUGGAUUCAGAUGAAGUGGGCGGAAUGAGUAAUGUAGCGGUGAAAUGCAUAGAUAUUACUCAGAACACCGAUUGCGAAGGCAGCUCACUAAACUGCGAUCGACGCUGAGACACGAAAGCGUGGGGAGCGAACAGGAUUAGAUACCCUGGUAGUCCACGCCGUAAACGAUGAUAACUCGUUGUGUGCAGUACACGGCACGCGACCAAGCGAAAGCAUUAAGUUAUCCACCUGGGGAGUACGACCGCAAGGUUGAAACUCAAAGGAAUUGACGGGGGCCCGCACAAGCGGAGGAACAUGUGGUUUAAUUCGAUGAUACGCGAGGAACCUUACCUGGACUUGAACGCGCGUGACAGGCAGGGAAACCUGCUCUCCUAGCAAUAGGCACAAAGCGAGGUGCUGCAUGGCUGUCGUCAGCUCGUGCCGUGAGGUGUCGGGUUAAGUCCCAUAACGAGCGCAACCCCCAUCGUUAGUUGCCAGCGGGUCAUGCCGGGAACUCUAGCGAGACUCCAGCGUAAGCUGUGAGGAAGGUGGGGAUGACGUCAAGUCAGCACGGCCCUUACGUCCAGGGCUACACACGUGUUACAAUGGCCGGUACAGAGGGCAGCAAACGGGCGACCGCGCGCAAAUCUCGAAAGCCGGUCUUAGUUCGGAUCGGAGUCUGCAACUCGGCUCCGUGAAGUUGGAUUCGCUAGUAAUCGCGCAUCAGCAAUGGCGCGGUGAAUACGUUCCCGGGCCUUGUACACACCGCCCGUCAAGCCAUGGAAGCCGGGGGUACCUGAAGUCCGCAACCGCAAGGAGCGGCCUAGGGUAAAACU
rnacentral:rRNA from 1 species